rnacentral:rRNA from 1 species
GAGUUUGAUCCUGGCUCAGGACGAACGCUGGCGGCAUGCCUAACACAUGCAAGUCGAACGGAGUUAUUAUUCAGAAGUUCUUCGGGAUGGAAGGAUAAGAACUUAGUGGCGGACGGGUGAGUAACGCGUGGGUAACCUGCCCUUUUGUGGGGAACAACUUCGAGAAAUCGGAGCUAAUACCGCAUAAUAAUAGAGGAUCGCAUGAUUCUUUAAGGAAAGAUGGCCUCUGAAGAUGCUAUCGCAAAAGGAUGGACCCGCGUCUGAUUAGCUAGUUGGAAGGGUAACGGCCUACCAAGGCAACGAUCAGUAGCCGGCCUGAGAGGGUGAACGGCCACAUUGGGAUUGAGACACGGCCCAAACUCCUACGGGAGGCAGCAGUGGGGAAUCUUCCGCAAUGGGCGAAAGCCUGACGGAGCAAUGCCGCGUGAGUGAAGAAGGCCUUCGGGUUGUAAAACUCUGUCCUUAUCGAAGAGAGGUAGGUAUGUGAAUAAUGUACCUAUAGGACGGUAGAUAAGGAGGAAGCCCCGGCUAACUACGUGCCAGCAGCCGCGGUAAUACGUAGGGGGCGAGCGUUGUCCGGAAUCACUGGGCGUAAAGGGCGCGUAGGCGGUUUAAUAAGUCAGUGGUGAAAACUGAGGGCUNCACCCUCAGCCUGCCACUGAUACUGUUAGACUUGAGUAUGGAAGAGGAGAAUGGAAUUCCUA